rnacentral:rRNA from 1 species
AUUAAUAUCGAACCUGGCCCCCUGGCUACGUCUACCUUGCAAACCCGUGGAAGCGAACCGUGCUUCGGCGCCUCGGCGUCGAGUUUAUGCUGCAGUUGGUAGUUUGCGUCUGAAUCAAACCGAAGAACAUAAAACUUUCAACAGAGGAUCUCUUGGCUCUUGUAUCGAUGAAGAACACAGCAAAGCGCGAAAUGUAGUGAACAUAGCAGCACAAUUGUGAAUCAUCGAAUCUUUGAACGCACAUUGCGCCUCCGGUAGCUCGGAGGCAUGCCUGUCUGAGCGUCAUUUAAAACCAUGGACCCAGGAUUGGGUCCGUAUUGGGCGUCGCCCCCCUCUCCAGAGUGGCGCGUGGCCUCAAAGACAUUGGUCUCACAUGCGGACGAGCUCCCCUGGGACAGACCGCGCGGAGACCCUAAGCAUCUGACUUUGAUCUCAGAUCAGGUAGGACUACCGCCG